rnacentral:lncRNA from 1 species
GAUCCAAUAUCAACAACAGUGAGUGUGUUUGCCAAGAAGGGGUUAACGGAACUACAGUUCACUCCUCAGAACACCCGUUCCACUCCUGAGUGUCAGUGUAAAGAGAGAACAGCUGAAGGAGGAGACUAGUCCUGCGAAGACAGCCGAGGACACAGCAUGCGGGACACAGCAAGGUCGGCCACUCAGUAGAGUCUAGUCUGACGGGGAAAAGGCUCUCCAUCAAUUGGGAUGAUGCUGUUUGGAGCCUUGAAGGGGUGAUGGACAUUUAAAUGAACAGCAAAGGAGAAGCUGCUAGUCCUUUGUGACUUGCUCGAUAGCCGAGGUUACAGAAGUGGAGGGUAAAAUGGUUAGCAUUCAUUUUCCUUAAAGGAAAUGAGGCCGAAGUCUUGUGUGAGUAGCGUUUUCUUAGCAUCGGGUGGUUGGUUACUGUUGCCUGUGAUGGGAUUUCCACCACGCAUGCUCCUCUUUCGCCUGAUGGGAUUUCCACCACGCAUGCUCGUCUUUCACCAGCUGAUGAGCCUUUUGGAAAGGCUCUUCAGAGCGUGUGGUGUGCAGGGGUUUGUUGACCUUAGUCUAUACUUACGGCUUCCCAACUGAGACCAGAAACAGCAGCACCAUGGUGGGAGCAUUCGCACCGUAAGUCAAGGAAGCAAGAGGUACAAAGCCAGGCUCACUCAUAAUUAUUGUCUGCUUUCUGCAAACUGACUAGAAGCCCAGGAAAGCUAAGCUGAUCCCUUCCGAGACAGCACUGGGUGGCAUAACCGCCUUAUUCCUGGGUCCCUCCACAAUGUCACACUGAAGACCACGCCUCCAGCGCAUGUUCAAGCCAGCUCCCAACCAGAGCUGCCUCAACUUAAGACUUGUGGCCAGUUAACCUUAUCUGAUAGCAAAUCCCUCUGAGAAUUCUAGUGCGUUAUCGAUGGAGCACUGAACCAAGGAAUGACAAGCAGACAAGAGGAUUCAGAGGACUUGGAAAUGGCUGCCUGGCCGUAGGGGAUCGGCCCUCACCUGUGACAUCCCACUCCUUCAACUGUGCCUUGGCUCCCGUGAAAGCUUGCUCGUGGCAUCUUCCUUCCAUCGCAUGCAGUGGGAGUUAGUAAGGACUCUCCCCUCUGUGCUGCUGGAGGUACGUGAGGUCUGGGCAGAGGCAGGUAUGGAAAUCCACAAACAAUGGAUGCAACUGCAAGUGGGAACAGGCCAUUCGGACUGAAGGUGACCUUGGAGAAGGUUCUGCGAAGCCUGGCUCAUUUCCAGCCGACUGAGGAAAAGCAGGAGACUGUAUCGGUCAACAGCGGAAGUCCUCAGCUCAGCUAGAGACAGUGUUCCAGCUGCAGUCUGUUACCAGUGUUCUUCAGUCCCUCCUUUUCUCUGUGCCAGCACAGACAGACGGAGCUAAGUGACAAGGGUCUGCGCCACCCCAGGUCACAGUCACUUGUGCUCUCACCGCCCGUGUAGAUGGGGAUGCGAGGCAAGAGAGCUCCUGCAGAGGGGAUCACUCAGGAGUCGUGUCUUGCUGGAUUGACAGCAGCUCCAAAACUGAGCGGAAGCAAGUGAGAACCAUAGCAGGAAUUCGACAAAAUUAGAAAGCGACAGGACUUGAAUCUGGGAUGUUCUCCACAGGCUCAGGCUCCAACUUGUGCUGUUUCCUGGAGUGGUGGACCAGUUAGGAGAUGCGGCCUGAGCCAGAGAAGCAGGGCAUAGCCUUUGGUUCGAGUGGAGAGCUGUUCUUUGAAAUCUUUUCAUGCCAAAGAGAAGGGAUACAACAGAGUGCCGGCCACCAUGUCCACGCUCUCAGAAAGAGGAAUGUUCUGGAAGCAAAGCAUGGCCUGAGUGGCUCUCGAGAUGUGAGCUCAGCUAAACUAAGACUUACUUCAUCCUUCAGACCUGCAGCCUCGGAGCUUCAGAGUGAGGCCUUGAAUGGCCCCACCAAUGGGAUAAAGAAAUAAUUGCUGGUGAUUUCAGUUGCCCUGUAGGUGAGGGAUCAAUAUAUCAGAGAGGACUGCUUACCAAACUUUGUACAGGAGUCUGGAAAUUUUGACUGUGUCUCCGAAGUGUGUAACAGUUAAUAGAUAGCAGAAUGUGAGCCUCUGUGUGGAUGGGUUUCUAUGCCCUUGGGAAUCCUGCGAGAUAAAUCUGUUUUCUCUUUUUAUUAUAAGACUUUUGUCACCAGCUGCACUUGAGUUUUCAUACAGAGAAACCCCCAAAUCACACCGCAUGAAGUGUCACAAAUCACACACGCGAUCUGUAGCCAUGCGUGACAAAGGGACCUCGGUUCAGCACUGAAGUUCUGCAGAAAGGCAUUUCACCUUAUCUCCUCAGAUCUUAUAUUUUUUUUCCUCAAGCCCUCAUUUCCAUUAUAUUCAUUUUCGGAGUGGCACAUGGAGGUAACAUUUUUCCAUAGCCAAUUAUCUUGGGCCGAUCUCCGGCUCUUUCCUUACUCCUUCACAAAAUGCAGGCAGUAGCUGAUGCUAUGUUUCACUCAAAUUAUCCGUUGCUGUAACGCAGGAUUUAAAGCAUGUGCCUGGUUUUUAUUGACUAGGCUUAUUUCUUGUCAUUGUCUGUUCCCUUACCAUGACCUGAUCGAC